UUGAAUAAACAUGAACGAGUUGUUGCUGGCUCUGUAGGGCAUGUGCACGCUUGUCAUUUUUAUCUCUCCACUUGUGCACAUAUUGUAGAUCGAUUGAGGAUUGCUGUGCUGUGCUCAGCUCUGCCUUGUAUUUGUAGAUCUAUGUUUUCACAACCUCUAAAUUUGUAUUAGAAUGUUGAAUUUGGGAAAUAAUA
rnacentral:misc_RNA from 1 species